rnacentral:rRNA from 1 species
AGAGUGAACGCUGGCGGCAUGCCUAACACAUGCAAGUCGAACGGUAACAGGCCCGCAAGGGUGCUGACGAGUGGCGGACGGGUGAGGAAUACAUCGGAAUUUGCCCAAUCGUGGGGGAUAACGUAGGGAAACUUACGCUAAUACCGCAUACGACGGUGACGUGAAAGCGGGGGAUCAGCAAUGACCUCGCGCGGAUGGAUAAGCCGAUGUCGGAUUAGCUAGUUGGCGGGUAAAGGGCCCACCAAGGCGACGAUCCGUAGCUGGUCUGAGAGGAUGAUCAGCCACACUGGGACUGAGACACGGCCCAGACUCCUACGGGAGGCAGCAGUGGGGAAUAUUGGACAAUGGGCGAAAGCCUGAUCCAGCAAUGCCGCGUGAGUGAUGAAGGCCUUAGGGUUGUAAAGCUCUUUACCCGGGAUGAUAAUGACAGUACCGGGAGAAUAAGCUCCGGCUAACUCCGUGCCAGCAGCCGCGGU